UUCUUCGGGGCGGAGUGCAAGUCUCCACCGGCGGUAUUUGAAUUAUUCAUAAGCCCGCGAGCCGUAAGGCAUGAAUCGGUGUGAAUCCGAUGCCGACAGUAUAGUCUGGAUGAGAGAAGAUG
rnacentral:ncRNA from 1 species